AUUGAACGCUGGCGGCAUGCUUUACACAUGCAAGUCGAACGGUAACAGGUUAAGCUGACGAGUGGCGAACGGGUGAGUAAUGCAUCGGAACGUGCCCGGUCGUGGGGGAUAACGCAGCGAAAGCUGCGCUAAUACCGCAUACGAUCUGGGGAUGAAAGCGGGGGACCGUAAGGCCUCGCGCGAUCGGAGCGGCCGAUGUCAGAUUAGGUAGUUGGUGGGGUAAAGGCUCACCAAGCCGACGAUCUGUAGCUGGUCUGAGAGGACGACCAGCCACACUGGGACUGAGACACGGCCCAGACUCCUACGGGAGGCAGCAGUGGGGAAUUUUGGACAAUGGGCGCAAGCCUGAUCCAGCAAUGCCGCGUGCAGGAAGAAGGCCUUCGGGUUGUAAACUGCUUUUGUACGGAGCGAAGAGGCUCUCUCUAAUACAGGGGGCUCAUGACGGUACCGUAAGAAUAAGCACCGGCUAACUACGUGCCAGCCGCCGCCGUAA
rnacentral:rRNA from 1 species